GAUGAACGCUGGCGGCGUGCCUAAUACAUGCAAGUCGAGCGAACGGACGAUAAGCUUGCUUCUCUGAUGUUAGCGGCGGACGGGUGAGUAACACGUGGAUAACCUACCUAUAAGUCUGGGAUAACUUCGGGAAACCGGAGCUAAUACCGGAUGAUAUUUUGAACCGCAUGGUUCAAAAGUGAAAGACGGUCUUGCUGUCACUAAUAGCUGGAUCCGCGCUGCAUUAGCUAGUUGGUAAGGUAACGGCUUACCAAGGCAACGAUGCAUAGCCGACCUGAGAGGGUGAUCGGCCACACUGGAACUGAGACACGGUCCAGACUCCUACGGGAGGCAGCAGUAGGGAAUCUUCCGCAAUGGGCGCAAGCCUGACGGAGCAACGCCGCGUGAGUGAUGAAGGUCUUCGGAUCGUAAAGCUCUGUUAUUAGGGAAGAACAGAUGUGUAAGUAACUGUGCACAUCUUGACGGUACCUAAUCAGAAAGCCACGGCUAACUACGUG
rnacentral:rRNA from 1 species